CUUGUCUGCUGCCAUGUGUCUUGUGUCUUUCACCAUGAUUGUGAGGCCUCCCCUGCCGCGUGGAACUACAGACUCUUGCUCUGUUGCCCAGUCUAGAGUGAGCAAGCAGCCUCUCACUAGAGUUCACUGCAGCCUGGAGUUCCUGGGGUCAAGUAAUCCUCCUGCCUCAGCCCGCCAGAGCGCUGGUAUUACAGAUGUGAACCACUGCAUCUGGCCAACUGUUCUUUUAAAUCAUGUCACUUUACAAAGCAAUUAUAGGAAUCUUAUAACCAUAUAUAAUAAUUUCCAAAUUGUAUGGCUACUAUAAGUUGAUUAAAAGUCUAGAGAACAACAGAUUUGAGGCUUAUAAUUGUACUGUAAUGCAUGCUUUAUUCAUUAGGAUCUCAGCACGUAGGCAGACAUUAAACAAAACUUAUGCUAACAUUUGAGGACUCACUGUAUUCUAGGCACUGGUAAGGGCUUGAUAUAAAUUAUCUUCUAUAAUCCCCAAAACAAUCCUAUUCUUCCCCCUUGGUACGGAUGAAGAAAUUGUGCCUUCACCACAGAAAUAGCAGAGCUGGAAUUUGUUCCAGGAAGUCAGACUCCAGAGGCCACGUUCUUAAGCUCUGAAUGAAAACAGAAAAAAGCACAAUAAAAAGUGAACGCACAUUGAGAAAUGUGCGUUCACUUUAUAUUGUGCUGUUUUUAAGGAGAAAGCGUAUACUGUUCUAAUUUAUAUUACUUAUUUGCUAAUUUUCAAGAAAUUUCAAACUUCCCAUUUCAGUGUUAGAACUGAAGUGAGAAUCAGAAGCCCUGAGCUCUUUUUCCGUCUCUACCGCCCCUUUGACAUCAGACCAGUUUUUGACCUUUCUAAUAAAAUGACCUGUAUCCUUGUGAUAUGGUUUGGCUCUGUAUCCCCACCCAAAUCACAUCUUGUAUCUCCCAAAUUCCCAUGUGUUGUGGGAGGAACCCUGUGGGAGAUAAUGGAAUCAUGGGGGCGGGUCUUUCCCGUGCUGUUCUCCUGAUGGUGAAUAAGUCUCACGAGAUCUGAUGGCUUUAAAAACGGGAAUUUUCCUGUGCAAGCUCUCUUCUCUUGUCUGCCACCACGUGAGACAUGCCUUUCACCUUCCGCCAUGAUUGUGAGGCCUCCCCAGCCACGUGGAACUCUAAGUCCAUUAAACCUCUUUCUUUUUUAAAGUGCCCAGCCCGGGGUAUGUCUUUAUCAGCAGCGUGAAAACAGACCUUGUCUAGUGCUCUUGGUAUUGAAGCCUUGUGGUGCUGUAUUGAAGUCAAUGGGGAUAUAAUAGGUCAUCCCUAAGUGGAUAUGUUCCUCAUGCCCACUGCAAGGCAACCAUAACAGAGUAUAAAACAUGAGCCCAAACUUCCAUGUAUAAAAAAAGUGCACUUGAGAGAGCAUGAAGAUCAUUUGGUUCAACAUCCCUGUCUCUGUAUUUCCUUUGCCUUAUAAUAUCGUUGACUAGGACUCAGUGAUUCCCCACAGCGGUGCUUUUAGCCUUUGACGCAAUUCUUGGUUGUUGAGGAUUAUCCCAUGAUUGGAAGAUAGUUAACAUCUUUGGCCCCACCUUCAAAAUGCUACUAGAGCGCUGCACAUUUUCAAACACAUACCUAGGAAAAAACAGUAAAACCUUUCGUCAAAAACCAUGCGAAAACUCCUAGAAUCUUUAUCUCUCACUCAGCCCAGAGAUUGUCAACAAUAGAGAAACAUCACGGAAGACAAAAAACCCACAGGCACUUUGAGUCCACCAGUCAACAGCCUAUACUGAUUGCUGGUGGGGUUCCCUGUAUCCAGCGAGGAAGACAGAAUGCAAAGCCAAGAAAGGUACAUGAAAUGUGUGGUAGUGGUUCCUCUUGUGAUCAAGCAGCUUUAGAGAUUGGCAUUGAAAAUAUAGAACUAUGAUUUAUGAUCUUCAACAUGAAAAUGAUCAUUGAUGCGACACAGAAAAAUACAAAACAGGAUUGACGGCCACAAUGUGUAUAUGUGUUGUGAGUGUAAAGGGUAGAAUAUUUCAGACUCUCUGUGUUAACCAAAAAUAAAAUUAUUUUCUUGUUUUUCUGUAACUCAACCUCAAUUUGAACACACUAUUUCACAUAAUAACAGAAAUUUGGUCUAAUCAUUCAAAACAAACUCCAAGGUUUUCUCAGUCAUUUCUUACGUAAUCUCAAUAUUCUCUCUCUUUCAUUCCUUUUCCAUUUGUGGAGGUGAGAGGCUAAUAAUAGUAAUAAUUAUAACAAUAGCUAAAAUAUUAAGCUACUAUUAACUUCUUAAGGUGCAAUCCCUCCCUCACACCACUCCCUGCUUUCUCAUCCCCAGACAGCUGAUCUUCUUUCUAUCGUGAUAGAUUAGUCUGCAUUUUUAUAUGUCAUUUUAUAUAAAUUGAAUCAUACCAUAUGUACUCUUUUUGUUUGGCUUCAUUCACUCAACAUAAUUUUUUUGAGAUUCAUUCAUAUUGUUGCUUGUAUUAAUAAUUCAUUCCUUUUUAUUGUGUGAAUAUACCUCAUUCCAUUAAACAGGUAAUGGAAAUUUUGGUUGUUUCCAGUUUGUAACCAUCACAAAUAGAGUCUCUGUGAAUAUUAAGGUACAACCUGUUUGGUGGACAUAUGUUUCCACUUUCCUUCUACUCUUCCUAGAAGUGGAAUGCAGGGGUCAUACGGUAGGUGUUCAUACAUCUUUCUAAGAAAAUGCCAAACUGUUUUCCAAAGUGAUUUUAUUAUUUUACAUUCACACCAGUAAUGUAUAAGAGUUUAUAGUCCCUCCAGCAAACUAACAAGGAACAGAAAACCAAACACCACAUGUUUUCACUCAUAAGCGGGAGUUGAACGAUGAGAACAUAUGGACACACGGAGGGGUACAUCACACAUCGGGGCCUAUCAGGUGGUUGGGGGCAAGGGUAGGGAAAACAUUAGGACAAAUAUCUAAUGCAUGUGGGGCUUAAAACCUAGAUCAUGGGUUGACAGGUGCAGCAAACCACCAUGGCACAUGUAUACCUAUGUAACAAACCUGCACGUUCUGCAUAUGUAUCCCAGAACUUAAAGUAAAAUUAAAAAUAAAAAAGUUUACAGCCCCCCAAUAUGUAAUAUGCUCAGACUUUUAAAAUUUCUGUCAUUUCAGUGGGUGAGUAGUGAUAACUCAUUGUGGUGGAAUUUUCAUUUCCCUAGUGACUAAUGAUCUUAAGCCUCUUUUGAUGUGUUUAUCAUCUGUAUAACUCCUUUGAUAAAACAUCUGUUUGUAUAUCUUGCCCAUUUUCUACUAUGCUAUUUCUUUUUAUUAGACAUUUUUAUGUUCUAAUUACAAGUUAUUUAUCAGAUUCAUGUUUGCAAUAUUUUUCCUGGUUUAUUUGCUUAACAGAAUAAACUGUUUUAGAUGGUAAUGCACAAUAUUAAUUUUUUUCUCUUAUGAAUUGUGUUUCUGGUGUUGUAUUUAAGAAAUAUUUUCCAAGGCCAAGACCACUAAAGUUUUCUCCUAUGUUAUCGUCUAGAAGUCCUAUACUUUUGACAUGUUUUUUUCUUUUUUUUGAGACAGAGUCUCACUCUGUCACCCAGGCUGGAGUUCAAUGGUGAGAUCUCGGCUCACUGCAACCUCCGCCUCCCGGAUUCAAGCAAUUCUCCUGCCUCAGCCUCCUUAGUAGCUGGGAUUACAGGCAUGCGCCACCAUGCUCGGCUAAUUUUUGUAUUUUUAGUAGAGACAGGGUUUCACCAUGUUGGCCAGGCUGGUCUCAGACUCCUGACCUCAGGUGAUCUGCCCACCUCAGCCUCCCAAAGUGCUGGGAUUACAGGCAUGAGCCACCACACCCAGCAAUUUUAGGGUUUAUAUUUAAGUCUAUGAACCAUUUCAAUAUAAUUUUUGUUGAUAUUGGGAGGUAAGAGUUGAGUAUUGGGUUUCUGCAUGUGGCUACGUGAUUGUUCCCAAACCAUUUGUUGAAAAGAUUAUACUUUUCCCAUUAAACGCAUUCCACUUACCUAUUUUUCUAUCCUUACACCAAAAUCACACUCUCUUGCUCACUGCAGAUUUAUAUGCUAAGUUUUAAAAUCAGUUAAUGAAGACCUCCAACUUUCUUCUUUUUCAAAGUUGUUUUGGAAUUUCUACGUCCUUUGCAUUUCUAUAUAAAUGUUAGAAUAAUGUUGUUAAUUGCCUGAAAAAAAAGGCUUUCUAAGGAUUUGGUUAUCAUUGUGUUACACAUGUAGAUCAUUUGGGGGAUAAUUAAUAAUAACAUUGAAACUUAUGAUCCAAACACUGUAUAUUCUCCAAUUAUUUAGGCCUUCUUUAAGUUAUCUUAGCAAUGAUCGGUAGUUUUCCAAGUACGGGUCUUGAGAAUCUUUCGUUAAGGGUAUACGUCGUUAUGCUAUUUUUUUUUUUUUUUUUUUUUUUUUUUUGAGACUGAGUCUCGCUCUUUCGCCCAGGCCGGACUGCAGCGGCACUGUCUCGACUUACUGCAAGCUCUGCCUCCCGGGUUCACGCCAUUCUCCUGCCUCAGCCUCCCCAGUAGCUGGGACUACAGGCGCCCGCCACCACACC
rnacentral:lncRNA from 1 species